CGCCAUGUUUACAUAUAGUUCAGUGGCACGUAGCCAUGUUUACAUAUAGUUCAGUGGCACGUAGCCAUGUUUACAUAUAGUUCAGUGGCACGUAGCGAUGUUUACAUAUAGUUCAGUGGCACGUAGACAUGUUUACAUAUAGUUCAGUGGCACGUAGACAUGUUUACAU